UACAGAGGGGGCAAGCGUUGUUCGGAAUUAUUGGGCGUAAAGAGCUCGUAGGCGGUUUGUCGCGUCUGCUGUGAAAUCCCGAGGCUCAACCUCGGGCCUGCAGUGGGUACGGGCAGACUAGAGUGCGGUAGGGGAGAUUGGAAUUCCUGGUGUAGCGGUGAAAUGCGCAGAUAUCAGGAGGAACACCGGUGGCGAAGGCGGCUUGCUGGGCCUUACCUGACGCUGAGGAGCGAAAGCGUGGGGAGCGAACAGG
rnacentral:rRNA from 1 species